GUGCCAGCAGCCGCGGUAAUACGUAGGUGGCAAGCGUUAUCCGGAAUUAUUGGGCGUAAAGCGCGCGUAGGCGGUUUUUUAAGUCUGAUGUGAAAGCCCACGGCUCAACCGUGGAGGGUCAUUGGAAACUGGAAAACUUGAGUGCAGAAGAGGAAAGUGGAAUUCCAUGUGUAGCGGUGAAAUGCGCAGAGAUAUGGAGGAACACCAGUGGCGAAGGCGACUUUCUGGUCUGUAACUGACGCUGAUGUGCGAAAGCGUGGGAAUCAAACAGGAUUAGAU
rnacentral:rRNA from 1 species